rnacentral:tRNA from 1 species
GGAGGAGCCGCACGAUGGUCGUGCAAAAGUUUGCUAAACUUUGACCCUUUACGGGGUCUUGUGGGUUCGAGUCCCACCUCCUCCG